CAGGAGGAAUUGUUCAUGCUCUGCGUAUGCAAGCAUAGCUAUUCCUGAGAAAGGGACUGGUUGCUUGGCAUGGUAUGGUGAAUUAAUGGAUACAAUGGUUGAUAUGGAAGCAGGAUAUAAUAUUUAUGUUCGUGUUGAUGCGCUUGAAUUAGGUAAUGUUCUCUCGCUUCUAACUUUUAUUUUUUCAAUUUUUUAACUUACAACUUGUUGGAAUAAUAUGACAUUAUUUUUCCCACUACCACAGCUGAAAUCACACAAAAAUCAAGUGAUUCUCUGGAGAGGAAAUAUAAUUGGGCUAUUUUUGUAGCAUCUGUGGUUUCAUCCUGGUUUAUAAUCAUCUUAUUUUCAUAUUUGUGGUUCAAGAAGAAGGGAAAAAGGGGUAAGAAAUGAGAUUCAAUAUGUUGAUUUGUGCCUUUCCAUCUGUACUUAUACUGCUGAAUUGUUUGAUGAAGGAAUAGCUUUUGUUCCAUAAGAAAUUUAGAGUAGGCAUUUUGUUUCAUUUUUUUAUUCUUUUUUGAGGACAGCGAGGAACAAAUGGAAUGAAAGAUUGCUUCAUACAAUCACUGAAGCAUACCCCAACGAUACCUUGGUGGCAAAUGAAGGUAGAAUGAGUCAUCCAGAAAUAACAAUUUUCAAUCUCAGCACAAUACUUGCUGCGACGAACAAUUUCUCUCCAACCAGAAGACUUGGACAAGGCGGUUUUGGCUUGGUUUAUAAGGGUCAACUAUCAAACGGACAAGAGGUGGCUGUGAAAAGACUAUCUAAAAAUUCAGGACAAGGAAUAGAAGAAUUCAAAAAUGAAGUUAUGUUGAUCGCAAAACUUCAGCACAAGAAUCUGGUGAAGCUCAUAGGAUGCUGCAUUCAGGGAGAAGAACCAAUGCUAGUUUAUGAAUACUUGCCAAACAAAAGCUUGGACUCAUUUCUUUUUGAUGAAACAAAAAGGGCAAUUCUAGAUUGGAGAAAACGGUUUGAUAUUAUUGUUGGAAUUGCUCGCGGGAUCUUAUAUAUUCACCAAGAUUCAAGGUUAAGUAUUAUCCAUAGAGAUUUAAAAACAAGCAACAUUCUAUUGGAUGCAGAAAUGAACCCAAAAAUUUCAGAUUUUGGCAUG
rnacentral:misc_RNA from 1 species